rnacentral:rRNA from 1 species
UACGUAGGGUGCGAGCGUUAAUCGGAAUUACUGGGCGUAAAGCGUGCGCAGGCGGUUUUGUAAGACAGGUGUGAAAUCCCCGGGCUUAACCUGGGAACUGCAUUUGUGACUGCAUCGCUGGAGUGCGGCAGAGGGGGAUGGAAUUCCGCGUGUAGCAGUGAAAUGCGUAGAUAUGCGGAGGAACACCGGUGGCGAAGGCGGCCUGCUGGGCUAUGGCUGACACUGAGGCGCGACAGCGUGGGGAGCAAACAGGAUUGAGAA